rnacentral:rRNA from 1 species
UACGAAGGGGACUAGCGUUGUUCGGAAUCACUGGGCGUAAAGCGCACGUAGGCGGAUUUGUAAGUCAGGGGUGAAAUCCCGGGGCUCAACCUCGGAACUGCCUUUGAUACUGCGAAUCUCGAGUCCGAUAGAGGUGGGUGGAAUUCCUAGUGUAGAGGUGAAAUUCGUAGAUAUUAGGAAGCAACACCGGUGGCGAAGGCGGCCCACUGGAUCGGUACUGACGCUGAGGUGCGAAAGCGUGGGGAGCAAACAGG